rnacentral:lncRNA from 1 species
AAGUUCACUCUGAAGCUGUCUAAAUUUCUCUUCAGUUCCCCAAUGUCUCUGACCAUAUCUAUGUAUUUAGACUGCCUUCUAAGUGAGCGUGGGGGAUGUUUCCAUAGAGACUGAAGAAGGGCUGCUGUUCCAUCUAUAACAGUCUCCCCUAGGGCCUAUGACCUCCAGGACCAUAGGCUUUUGACCUUGUUUAUAGUAGCAGACAUGAAUUUCCUCCUGUGGUGCAGGCCUCACAGCCAAUCAGAGAGCAGUUGUUUGCUUUCAUAGCAUCAUGUCACUAUUGCCUGCAUAGGCACAUAGGACCAGAGACGGGAAGGUAGACCAUCUCAAUGUACAAGUUCAUGGAGUCUGAAGUGGCUAGGAUAGUAAACUUCAGAAAAGAUGUUUCCAAGCAACUUGUGGAGAUCUUGGUGGUGGUGAGUGCCUUUAUCUGCUGAGCCAUCUUGCAAGUCCCUAAGUCUAAGUUUCCGGUUGGGUAACACAGGCGGGUUUCCCUUUUUUUUUUUUUUUUUUUUUUUUUUUUUCUCGAGACAGGGUUUCUCUGUGUAGCCCUGGCUGUCCUGAAACUCAUUCUGUAGACUAGGCUGGCCUUGAACUCAGAAAUCUGCCUGCCUCUUCCUCCCAGGUGCUGGGAUUAAAGGCGUGCGCCACCACUGCCCGGCACGGGUUUCCCCCCUCUUAUGACCACUGCAGUGUAUUGAAUCUGCUUGCGGAUUUAAAUUAAAUCCACUCCGUCAUGUCAUCCCUUCACGUUAGACUUUUGUAGGAGUUCUAGUUGUUUAUUCCUAUUAUAAACAGCUCAGCAAUAAACAAGUCUGGUUGCAAACCUUUUAUUUUUUAUUUUUCUUUAGAAAUGAAAACAUAGACGUCGUCAUCAUGAAUAGUCCUCCUGAUCCUGAUUGUCACCGAAAAUAAUUCCCAAGACAGCUGAAGAGGCCUUCGGGUUCAGGCUCCGCCCAUCCAUCCAUCUGCCCCACCCUUCAUUCUUGCUUCGUUCCAAAGAAGAGAAGGAAGAAGAGAGAAGGGAUUGAGCAGAGGCCUGGGCACGCAUGGGUCCCCUCUGGCAGUGGGCAGAGUCACAGGGCGGAAGCAAGUUGUCUUUCUUCCUGCCCAGCUUCAAAUGCAGCCGGAGAGAGGAGCUAGCUGGGAACUUGAACAUCUGCAGAAAGCCUGGAUACUUCCUUCUGUCUUUCUUCUCCCCUGUGGCAGUCAGGGCAGGGCUUCCUCUUUGCCUGUGCCUGAGCUUCUGGAUGGGGUCAGAGU